rnacentral:rRNA from 1 species
AGGAUGAACGCUGGCGGCGUGCUUAACACAUGCAAGUCGAACGAUGAUCCUCAGCUUGCUGGGGGGAUUAGUGGCGAACGGGUGAGUAACACGUGAGUAACCCGCCCUUGACUCUGGGAUAAGCCUGGGAAACUGGAUCUAAUACUGGAUACGACCUUCCAUCGCAUGGUGGUUGGUGGAAAGCUUUUGUGGUUUUGGAUGGACUCGCGGCCUAUCAGCUUGUUGGUGGGGUAAUGGCCUACCAAGGCGACGACGGGUAGCCGGCCUGAGAGGGUGGACGGCCACACUGGGACUGAGACACGGCCCAGACUCCUACGGGAGGCAGCAGUGGGGAAUAUUGCACAAGUGGGCGCAAGCCUGAUGCAGCGACGCCGCGUGAGGGAUGAAGGCCUUCGGUUGUAAACCUCUUUCGAGUAGGAAGAAGCGAAGUGACGUACUGCAAGAAGAAGCGCCGACUAACGUACGUGACCAGCAGCCGC